UGUAGAGUGCCUGAAAAAGGAUAAUUUUGAUAGAAUUAAUCAUGUGAAUUUGGCUUCACCUCCACAU
rnacentral:tRNA from 1 species